CCCAGACAGCCAGGAUGUUGGCUUAGAAGCAGCCAUCAUUUAAAGAAAGCGUAAUAGCUCACUGGUCGAGUCGGCCUGCGCGGAAGAUGUAACGGGGCUAAACCAUGCACCGAAGCUGCGGCAGCGACACUGUGUGUUGUUGGGUAGGGGAGCGUUCUGUAAGCCUGCGAAGGUGGCCUGUGAGGGUUGCUGGAGGUAUCAGAAGUGCGAAUGCUGACAUAAGUAACGAUAAAGCGGGUGAAAAGCCCGCUCGCCGGAAGACCAAGGGUUCCUGUCCAACGUUAAUCGGGGCAGGGUGAGUCGACCCCUAAGGCGAGGCCGAAAGGCGUAGUCGAUGGGAAACGGGUUAAUAUUCCCGUACUUGGUGUUACUGCGAAGGGGGGACGGAGAAGGCUAUGUUGGCCGGGCGACGGUUGUCCCGGUUUAAGCGUGUAGGUGUGUGUUCCAGGUAAAUCCGGUUCACUUUAACACUGAGGCGUGACGACGAGGCACUACGGUGCUGAAGCAACAAAUGCCCUGCUUCCAGGAAAAGCCUCUAAGCAUCAGGUAACAUCAAAUCGUACCCCAAACCGACACAGGUGGUCAGGUAGAGAAUACCAAGGCGCUUGAGAGAACUCGGGUGAAGGAACUAGGCAAAAUGGUGCCGUAACUUCGGGAGAAGGCACGCUGACA
rnacentral:rRNA from 1 species